AUUGAACGCUGGCGGCAUGCUUUACACAUGCAAGUCGAACGGUAACAGGCCGCAAGGUGCUGACGAGUGGCGAACGGGUGAGUAAUGCAUCGGAACGUGCCCAGUCGUGGGGGAUAACGCAGCGAAAGCUGCGCUAAUACCGCAUACGAUCUAUGGAUGAAAGCGGGGGACCGUAAGGCCUCGCGCGAUUGGAGCGGCCGAUGUCAGAUUAGGUAGUUGGUGGGGUAAGGGCUCACCAAGCCAACGAUCUGUAGCUGGUCUGAGAGGACGACCAGCCACACUGGGACUGAGACACGGCCCAGACUCCUACGGGAGGCAGCAGUGGGGAAUUUUGGACAAUGGGCGCAAGCCUGAUCCAGCAAUGCCGCGUGCAGGAAGAAGGCCUUCGGGUUGUAAACUGCUUUGUACGGAACGAAACGGUCCUGGUUAAUACCUGGGGCUAAUGACGGUACCGUAAGAAUAAGCACCGGCUAACUACGUGCCAGCCGCCGCCGUAAUAC
rnacentral:rRNA from 1 species